ACAUGUCUAUACGGGAGCUAAUCAAUUUAGCUGAGAGGGCUUGAAAUUCAAGCCGACCGAUUGACCAGUUCGGUAAUGCGAAUUGGAAGGGAUUAAGUUAUGUC
rnacentral:ncRNA from 19 species